AGAGCGAACGCUGGCGGCAGGCCUAACACAUGCAAGUCGAGCGCGUGUAGCAAUACACGAGCGGCAGACGGGAGAGUAACACGUGGGAACGCGCCCUUCGGUUCGGAAUAACUCAGGGAAACUUGAGCUAAUACCGGAUACGCCCUUACGGGGAAAGAUUUAUUGCCGAAGGAACGGCCCGCGUCCGAUUAGCUAGUUGGUGAGGUAACGGCUCACCAAGGCGACGAUCGGUAGCUGGUCUGAGAGGAUGACCAGCCUCACUGGGACUGAGACACGGCCCAGACUCCUACGGGAGGCAGCAGUGGGGAAUAUUGGACAAUGGGCGCAAGCCUGAUCCAGCCAUGCCGCGUGGAUGAUGAAGGCCCUAGGGUUGUAAAGUCCUUUAACGGGGAAGAUAAUGACGGUACCCGUAGAAUAAGCCCGGCUAACUCGCGCCAGCAGCCGC
rnacentral:rRNA from 1 species